rnacentral:sRNA from 1 species
GCAACGACACAUCUUCUAGCCUAGCCAUUGCUUGUAGUGGGCUUUGCGGUGGACCGUAUUUCCGUGUCCUUGCUCUAUAUUGCGAAAAUCCAAUUGGUACAGGAGCCCUGACCGGAGACGGUCAGGGCUCCUGCCUC